UCACUCACUCCCAUUCUAAGCCACCUCCAGCUUCUUCAAAAAACCUGUUGAGCAAAUUCUCUCUCUUUUUUUUUUCUAAAGGAAAUAGUUCACUGGCUGCCUGGAACAGGUUUGACUGUGCCUUCUGACGUUUGGCUCAGUCUUUAGAUGGUUGUUAAACACCCUGAAAAAAAAAAUUGCCUGGAAAAACUGGUCAUGUCAGGUGAGGGUUGCAUUCCUCUGUGAUUGUAUAGGUAUGGCUUGGUAGCAGAUAGUUGCAUAUAUAAAGGAGUGUCCUUGUUGUUGUCAAGCUCAGAAAAGCUCAUUCUGCAGCAGAGCAGCUUGGCACACAGGUGUGUCUGGGAUCUGAAUGCUGCUCGUCCACAUUACACAUUGGGAGGAGGCCGUACCCGCCCUGAGUCUCCUGGAACUUGUACUCAUACUUCACUGCCUGCCUGGCUUAGUGGUUCUUAACAGUUCAACAGUUCUCUAUCGAAAUUGUGAAAUGUUUAGGACCACUUGAUCAGAAAGGCAAGCUCUUCAGUACGUGGAAACCAUGCAAAGCCUCCUCUGCGACAGCGUGUCACCAGGAUUAAUGUUUUUCAUCAGGAACUGGACAGAUUCAGAAAUGCUAAUCUAAAAAUGUAAAACAAUGUCAAAUAAAGCGUCAAUUUUUUUUGUGUAGGUAUAAGUACAUGUAUAGGUAUUUGUAUAUACUGGCCACAUAACACAACAAUAACAUAUAGAAAUAAACAUUCCUUCACACACUCAGACAACUGGGAAAGAAAAAAAAAAA